rnacentral:rRNA from 1 species
CAGUCGCCGCGGGAAUUCGUAGGUGGCAAGCGUUGUCCGGAAUGAUUGGGCGUAAAGGGCGCGCAGGCGGCUGUGUAAGUCUGUCUAGAAAGUGCGGGGCUAAACCCCGUGAGAGGAUGGAAACUGGACAGCUGAGAGUGUCGGAGAGGAAAGCGGAAUUCCUAGUGUAGCGGUGAAACGCGUAGAUAUUAGGAGGAACACCGGUGGCGAAAGCGGCUUUCUGGACGACAACUGACGCUGAGGCGCGAAAGCCAGGGGAGCAAACGGGAUUAGAGACCCGGGUAGUCCCUGUCUCUUAUAC